CCUUUAAGCAUUGGAAACUGCAAGCACCUGAUACUUAAUCAAACAUUAGGUCUGACAUGCUGCUGUUUGAAUACAAAUUCGGACACCGAACAGCAGUUACUAGUUAAUAUUUAGCAGGGUUUAAAUGUGCCGCCUGCCAUCUGUCGCUCACCUAUUUGAAGUGUUUUUGUAUUUCGUAGGACACAGGACAGGACAGGAGUAGCUCAGUGUUGAGGACUGAAGUCAGUGAUAUUGAAUGAGUCUCGUGUCUUCCCUUAUCUGCAAACAUCGGACUGCUGUGCGUCCCUCCAGCUUCAUUUGUUGUAGCCAGUGAAGCAAACACACACACUUCAGUCUGGAACCCGAUAAGCGGCAUGAACAGAAAGAGGAAUGAGUGAGGAAACCUCUUUCUCCACUUUGCUCUUUCUGGAGAGCCUGAGCUUCGGUCACAGUGUUGUAUGAACCUUGUGAUAUAUGCUUCAGCGUCCUUUAUGUGCGGUUCUCGCGGGACGGCCCCAGAACAGAGGAGCAUUGUGGGACAGGAGGCAGUCAGGGCAGACGAUUUACAUGUUAGCUUGUGGAGGAGGAAUGUUGGUGACGGCCACAAAAACCAGUUUUGCACAUCGACCCACAACAAUGACUGGAUUAAAAAUGGCAUUUGCAGAAUCCGAGUUGUGUUGAAAUCACGCGAGCUGACAAGCUUCUGAAUUAAUGAUCUUCAUAUUAUUGUUCUUCAUUACUAAGUAUAUU